AUAUUUCAGUCUAGGACGUCAGGUUAAAAGCGACUUCAAUGCAACCUUUGGCUAAAUUGUAAUCUUUGCUUUUGCGGUUAAGGGUUUAUAUCUUCUGGAUUUCAUGCCACACAAGUCUUCCGGUGACUUUUAUUUUGAAGGUUAAUCUGUUGUGUCGCCUUUCUCCUGUAAGGCAGUAGACCUCUCUAGUUGGAAAUGCGUGGCAUCAGUCUUCUUCAGGUUGUCUAUUUAGUUUCUCUUCAACUUCAGGCACUUUAAAACUACACGGCCCAUAUGUUAAGAAUGUAACUGAGCUAUCUGAGGGAAAACGUACAAGGGCAGCAGCAGAUGUGAUAAGCUAACCUGGCCGAAAAGGUGUGAGAUUCGGAGUAAUGCCUUUCGGAAUACCAGGAGUCCAGGAAGUUCGUCUCGAAACCCCCAAAAUUGAACAGUAGCUGGGAAUAAGCUUAGCUAGGUGUGAUACUGACUUACUGAAAACAACCUGGAGAGCCCACAGUGUUAUAAACAUAGCAAAAUGCUAUGUUUAUAACUGAUGACUGAUGGGUUUGUAUAGGAGAGAUACUGCUUGUCAAGGGCAGAUUUAGCAAUGUACAGAGGCCAAGUCGUCUCUUGAAUUGCUGAACGGGUUCAACACGCCUUGCGGGUGUGUCUAGCCGGGAUCGUUAUUUUUGCCCUGGCUUGAAUCUUCGAGGUUUAUUGGCAUUAGAGAAACUGCAGGGGGCGAUUAUCUCUCCAAUUCGUUUUGGUUAAACUUUUAAUAAGUAAUGUCUUCUAUAGUGGGAAGAGCGUGGGGGUGGGUGCGCUUCUGGGGUAAUUGUACCUCACAAAAUACCCCACCGUUGUGCCAAAAGCAGCAUGCUAAAGGUAACUGGGGAUCUUGGAUGUGGGGAGGGUGGAGAAAAGGAAGUGACCAGAGUGCUCUAGGAGAGGAGUACUGGGAGGCACAGGAGAGAUUGCAACCCAUGGAAAUAGAAGAUCUUGGCUCAGGAAAACCAGAGACAGAGCUACAGGUGUCCAGUUGGUGGAGCAAAUAUCUCUCCACCUCAUAUCUGUGGUCAAGAAAAACUCCUCAAAGCAGCCUGAGACAAAGGAAAAGUGAUGUUGAUGGGGACUUUUCUGAUUAUGGAACCCCUCCCCCAUCCCCCAAUCCUUCUCAGCUGACCUCUCCAUUCAGAUUUUUCACAGAUAGCUGGAAUUUGGAGAUUAUACCAGAGCACUAUGAGAUUUGCUUCAACUUCCUUCGGCAUUUGUUUGACCUAUUUGUAGUUGCCUUCCUGUGGAUUGUGUCCCCUCCUGCCAAACUGAUCCUGGAGGUGUUUGGUGUCCAGGGAGCUCUGAGGCUGUGGUUUCAUGGCAUGGCCAUGUUUUUUGUCUCAACAGCUGGAAUGGCAGGAUUGCUGUGGUUGAUUCAGGAGUAUCUCCCUCAGUUUGCUUUGAUCUAUGGCAUCAUACAAGCAUUGGUGAUCUCUGUCAGUGUACGACAAAGUGUAAUCCUUGGAGUGGAAGAAGACAAAGAAAAUAUUCAGGAGGUGAAAGAGACUGGCGACACUGCAGACAAUGGAGACAAGCUUUUGUCUAAGGAACUGCUGAAGACAAGCUUAGCUUAAGAUGAUGCAGGAAUUCAGCUGAUCAGCCUUUCUCCAAAUGUUUGACUCCACAGACUGUCAGAUUAUACCACUAAAUUCAUUAGUUAUAAUCAUAGUUCAGUUUGAUUUAGUUUGGAGAAGUUGUUUCUCUUUGUUUUUGCCUUAAAUAGUGUCUGUAUUCUGCAAACAUCUACUCAUCCCCGUGAAUGUUUAGAAUCCAACCGUAAAUGCUGAGAAUGCUACUGUAUGUCAAAUAACAGUCAAGAAAAUAUCCAGGACUUGGUGGCUGUAAUGGUAUUUACAUUUAAUGUGUUGUCAUUUACUAUUCUCCUUGGCUCUCAAAAGUCUACUCCCACUGAUUAAAAUACCCAUUAUUGUGAUGUAAAAAUUCUGAUCAUGGUAAAUCAUUUAAAUAUUUUCCACAUAAUGAUAUAUGUGCUGCACAGUUAAAGUGAACAAUAAACAAAUGUGUUAAAAGGAAAUGUAUAAAAGGUGCAAUAACCCAGUUGCAGAAGUGUGUUUGUUCCACUCUUUUCUUUGCACAGUUAAAUGCUUUGUUUCUUCUGCAAAUUAUGGCUUUAGCUAAAGGUGGAGAAUGUUUAAAAUAAUUUGUCAUUGUCUCACUUUACAUCACAAAACCCUGCUGAUGUAACAGGUUUGUAGACUUUUGAGAGCCACUGUGAUGAACCAGCUGUAAGAUUUGAAAUUGAAUCAAAUUACAGGAAAAUUCAUAAGACACACAACAUACACUCCAAAUGUAAAUCGUCACCUUGCCUCUUAUUAAUCUUACUUUCCCCCCAAGUGACAUGCAAUUAAGACGUUUUAGGAUUGGUAAGCAGAGGAUUUACUGAAGGUGAAUUUGGGAAGCACUAACUGCAUAUUUAGUCUCACUACAAGUUGUAGUACUGAAAAAUAUAAUGGUGCAUCUAAAGUAUGUAACUUUCAUGAAAAAUGUCAUAUAUUUGUUGAAACUGUUACGACAUAAUGACAGUAUGUAUGAGAUGAAUAAUCUGAAAGUAUCGAGCUCUUCUGCCUUCUCCCAGUGUUUCCAACACCAUUCUGCCAGAAACAAGCAAUCAGAGCCUGGAGGAGGGUCUCUGUGCUGUCAAUCACACAUGUGCAUGCAAUGCUUUCUGCUACAUCUUCCUCUCAAGAGGACAACCUGCCAUGAAUGCCAAGGCUUGUUGCAUGGCCACCAAUGACAGCAGAUAAACAAUUUUCCUUUAAUGCUAAAUUGUUUCUCCACCAUUUGCACAUUGAGUUGCACAUACACUAGCAUGGUUGACAGUGCUAAGACACUCCUCUUUCUGUUUUUGAACGAAAACAGUGCAUUUCUUCAGAUGCCAAUAGCAGUACAGGAAGGAGGAGGCGGAGAUCACAGAUUAUCUGUCUGCAAAAAAAAAUGUUGUACAUGUCGUGACAGUUAAUGACGUACAAUAUUUUUUUUCUCAUUUUAACAAAACAAAAAAAAAUGUAAGUUACAAACUGCAGCUUUAAAAGUUUGUUUAACAUAAGAGGACAAUCCAGUUGAGCUUUAGUUUUGAACAUCUUUUUGCUAUUAUUACACUCUGGUGUUGGAACUCUAACACUACACACUUCAAACUCGAUUGUUUUCUUGUGAUGUAUUCUGUUGGACUGCGGUUUCAUGUAAAGGUACCUUUGCUGUUGUGAAUAUCAGACUUUACUUCAGGAAUUCAAAACCUCUGAGGCUUUUGGAGCAUCCAGUACACACAUUCCAAAUCAUACUGUUCAUAUUAUCUAAAUAUGUCUUUUGCUUUCCAUUGAUUACAUAUUUGGAUUAUAAUAACAAUAUAGAUUAUGUGAAAAUACAUGAUUGGUUCAUUGUUUUCCAAGCUACAGAAAAACUAGCUUUACCUGAAAUAAAUUCUGCUUUCUCAACAUUUUAGAGGGUGCCUUGAACUUAAUGUUUGAAUAUAUUAAAGUAUUGGUUCUUAAAUGUUUCAUUUUCAUAUGUUCAUUCAAAACACGUUUUUACUGUUGAAUGUUAAAGCAAUUGUCUUUUUCAGAAUUAUUAAACUAACAAACAAGCAGCACACUAAAUAUUGUUGAUUCUUCAUGUUGACUCGAAGGCACCAAAAUGGAAAUUAAUAAAAUAAUCUGGUUUUAUGGCAUGAUUCCACUCAGCAUUUUUUUUAGACUGAAGAUAUGGAAUUAUUUGGACCUGUGUUGAUGCUUGUAAGACAUUGAAGCCUGUCCAGUGAAAGUUAUACAUCAUUGUUUUCAGGGCCAAUAAGGCACAAUAAAAACUAGAGUUCAAUAUUUUCCUGUGCACAAAAGUAAUUGGAUUAAAUUGUUGUAAUGUAUGGUAGCAAACUAUUGGCUAUAGACUGUACCUUGAAUUUCUGUUGGACUUUUUUUCUUAAAUCACAAAAGGCUUGCUUAUAGAAAGUGGAUUUUUCAUGUUCUGUAAAUGUUUCUGAGUAAAACUGGAAGGAAAAUUUAAAGUAAACCUAUAAAUUUGUCUCACAGAUAAACCUUUGUAGCCUUUUCUCCACCUAAAUUUCUCCUAACUGUUUCAGUACAUUUAGGACAUCCAACAUCCUGUCUAUGCUAACAUUUUUUUAUGUUGGCUUGUGGUUGUGAAACUUUUUUACAGUAAAAGAUACUUUUACAUGAGCACCUUGCAAGUGUGGAUCACUAUAGGGAGAGCCUCACUAUUGGCUGCACUGUGAAGUUAACUGACGGACCUUAGUACAAUAUGUGCUUUAUGUUGUUCUGUAAUAUCUGCAUAUGAAAGAUGUGAAUACUUGUAAAUAAAGUCAAUCUUUCUUUAGAUUUA